rnacentral:rRNA from 1 species
GAUGAACGCUGGCGGCGUGCUUAACACAUGCAAGUCGAACGGAAAGGCUCCUGCUUGCAGGGGUACUCGAGUGGCGAACGGGUGAGUAACACGUGGGUGAUCUGCCCUGCACUUCGGGAUAAGCCUGGGAAACUGGGUCUAAUACCGGAUAGGACGAUGGUUUGGAUGCCAUUGUGGAAAGUUUUUCGGUGUGGGAUGAGCUCGCGGCCUAUCAGCUUGUUGGUGGGGUAAUGGCCUACCAAGGCGUCGACGGGUAGCCGGCCUGAGAGGGUGUACGGCCACAUUGGAACUGAGAGACGGCCCAGACUCCUACGGGAGGCAGCAGUGGGGAAUAUUGCACAAUGGGCGCAAGCCUGAUGCAGCGACGCCGCGUGGGGGAUGACGGCCUUCGGGUUGUAAACUCCUUUCGCUAGGGACGAAGCGCAAGUGACGGUACCUGGAGAAGAAGCACCGGCUAACUACGUG